GCGUCGGUGGCAUAACGGUUAGCAUAGCUGCCUUCCAAGCAGUUGACCCGGGUUCGACUCCCGGCCGAUGCA
rnacentral:tRNA from 1 species